rnacentral:rRNA from 1 species
UAGGGAAUCUUCGGCAAUGGACGAAAGUCUGACCGAGCAACGCCGCGUGAGUGAAGAAGGUUUUCGGAUCGUAAAACUCUGUUGUUAGAGAAGAACAAGGACGUUAGUAACUGAACGUCCCCUGACGGUAUCUAACCAGAAAGCCACGGCUAACUACGUGCCAGCAGCCGCGGUAAUACGUAGGUGGCAAGCGUUGUCCGGAUUUAUUGGGCGUAAAGCGAGCGCAGGCGGUUUCUUAAGUCUGAUGUGAAAGCCCCCGGCUCAACCGGGGAGGGUCAUUGGAAACUGGGAGACUUGAGUGCAGAAGAGGAGAGGGGAAUUCCAUGUGUAGCGGUGAAAUGCGUAGAUAUAUGGAGGAACACCAGUGGCGAAGGCGGCUCUCUGGUCUGUAACUGACGCUGAGGAUCGAAAGCGUGGGGAGCAAACAGG